rnacentral:rRNA from 1 species
AAACUUAAAUGAAUGACGGGACCGCACAGCGGUGGAUGAUGUGGUUAAUUCGAUGCAACGCGAAAACCUUACCUACCCUUGACAUGUCAAGAAUUUUGCAGAGAUGUGAAAGUGCUCGAAAGAGAACUUGAACACAGGUGCUGCAUGGCCGUCGUCAGCUCGUGUCGUGAGAUGUUGGGUUAAGUCCCGUAACGAGCGCAACCCUUGUCCUUAGUUACCAGCACGUUAAGGUGGGCACUCUAAGGAGACUGCCGGUGACAAACCGGAGGAAGGUGGGGAUGACGUCAAGUCAUCAUGGCCCUUACGGCCUGGGCUACACACGUGCUACAAUGGUCGGUACAAAGGGUUGCCAAGCCGCGAGGUGGAGCUAAUCCCAUAAAACCGAUCGUAGUCCGGAUCGCAGUCUGCAACUCGACUGCGUGAAGUCGGAAUCGCUUGUAAUCGUGAAUCAGAAUGUCACGGUGAAUACGUUCCCGGGCCUU